rnacentral:pre_miRNA from 1 species
CUACAUCUACCCUGUAGAUCCGAAUUUGUUUGACAUAAGUUAAAAUACGACAAAUUCGGUUCUAGAGAGGUUUGUGUG